UCAUGGCCAAUGAUGGUUCUAAAUAUACUCUGAGUAAUCACUAUGAAAAAAAUAAAAUCUGAGGCUGUAU